rnacentral:rRNA from 1 species
CGGGACACGUGGUAUCCUGUCUGAAUAUGGGGGGACCAUCCUCCAAGGCUAAAUACUCCUGACUGACCGAUAGUGAACCAGUACCGUGAGGGAAAGGCGAAAAGAACCCCGGCGAGGGGAGUGAAAAAGAACCUGAAACCGUGUACGUACAAGCAGUGGGAGCACGCUUAGGCGUGUGACUGCGUACCUUUUGUAUAAUGGGUCAGCGACUUAUAUUCUGUAGCAAGGUUAACCGAAUAGGGGAGCCGAAGGGAAACCGAGUCUUAACUGGGCGUUAAGUUGCAGGGUAUAGACCCGAAACCCGGUGAUCUAGCCAUGGGCAGGUUGAAGGUUGGGUAACACUAACUGGAGGACCGAACCGACUAAUGUUGAAAAAUUAGCGGAUGACUUGUGGCUGGGGGUGAAAGGCCAAUCAAACCGGGAGAUAGCUGGUUCUCCCCGAAAGCUAUUUAGGUAGCGCCUCGUGAAUUCAUCUCCGGGGGUAGAGCACUGUUUCGGCAAGGGGGUCAUCCCGACUUACCAACCCGAUGCAAACUGCGAAUACCGGAGAAUGUUAUCACGGGAGACACACGGCGGGUGCUAACGUCCGUCGUGAAGAGGGAAACAACCCAGACCGCCAGCUAAGGUCCCAAAGUCAUGGUUAAGUGGGAAACGAUGUGGGAAGGCCCAGACAGCCAGGAUGUUGGCUUAGAAGCAGCCAUCAUUUAAAGAAAGCGUAAUAGCUCACUGGUCGAGUCGGCCUGCGCGGAAGAUGUAACGGGGCUAAACCAUGCACCGAAGCUGCGGCAGCGACGCUGAUGCGUUGUUGGGUAGGGGAGCGUUCUGUAAGCCUGUGAAGGUGUGCUGUG